UCCCUGAUGGUCCAGUGGCUAGGACACCACACUCCCAAUGCAGGGGCCCCGGGUUCGAUCCCUGGUCAGGGAA